rnacentral:rRNA from 1 species
AGGGGCAUCGGGAGGGAAGCUUGCUUUCCUUGCCUGCGACCGGCGCACGGGUGAGUAACACGUAUGCAACCUGCCCUCUUCAGGGGGACAACCUUCCGAAAGGGAGGCUUAUCCCGCGUAUAUCGGUUUCGGGCAUCCGAGAUCGAGGAAAGAUUCAUCGGAAGAGGAUGGGCAUGCGGCGCAUUAGCUUGACGGCGGGGUAACGGCCCACCGUGGCGACGAUGCGUAGGGGUUCUGAGAGGAAGGUCCCCCACACAGGUACUGAGACACGGACCAGACUCCUACGGGAGGCAGCAGUGAGGAAUAUUGGUCAAUGGGAGAGAUCCUGAACCAUCCUAUCCGCGUGAGGGAAGACGGCCCUAUGGGUUGUAAACCUCUUUUGUCGGAGAACAAAACCCGGGACGUGUCCCGGACUGCGUGUAUCCGAAGAAAAAGCAUCGGCUAACUCCGUGCCAGCAGCCGCGGUAAUACGGAGGAUGCGAGCGUUAUCCGGAUUUAUUGGGUUUAAAGGGUGCGUAGGCGGUCCGUGAAGUCAGCGGUAAAAUAGCGGGGCUCAACCCCGUCGAGCCGUUGAAACUGGCAGACUUGAGUUGGCGAGAAGUACGCGGAAUGCGCGGUGUAGCGGUGAAAUGCAUA